UUUGGUGGCGAUAGCGGAGGGUUCCAUAAGUACCCACCCCGAACACGAUCGUUAAGCCCUCCAGCGCCGAUGAUACCUGGACCGUAGGGACCUGGGAGAGUAGGACGUUGCCAAGC
rnacentral:rRNA from 1 species